AACUCAACUUUUCCUGACUCUGGAUCCAGCAGUCUAUGGACUGUGCCACCUAGAUGUAACAUUUGCAGAAAUGUUUGAAAUACAUAGUAUUUCAAAACACUUAGCAUAGAGUUGUUUUGGUUUUGUUGGGGUUUUUUUAAUCCUUAUUUUCUGUCUUAGAAUCAAUACUAAGCAUGAGUUCCAAGGCAAAAGAUCCCAGGGUCACACAGCUAGGAAGUGUCUGAGGCCAGAUUUGAACCCAGGAGUUCCCUUCUCCCGGCCUGACUCUAUCUACUGCUGCCUCUCAGCAUAGUUUUAAGCUGACCAUCCUGAGCCUCAGUUUGCUCAUUUGUACAACAAGUAGGUUGAACUAGAUGACCUCGGAGGGUCACUUUUAUUAUUUUCGUGAAAAGGGAACUCAAUUUUGGGUCAGAGGCUCCAGGUUCAAAUCCCACCUCUGAUGUAUAUUGCCUGAUUGACCUUGGACAAUGUGCCUCAUUUUCCCUACCUGCAAAAUGAGUACUUUAGAUUAGGUAGCCUCUGAGACCUCUUCCAGCUCUCGCUCCAUGAUUAUGCACUCCAUUCUAGCUCUUUAGCCAUGAUCCACUGAUCUCUAGUCCUAUGACCUGAAUUUAAAUCCCAGGGAUGCGAUUUUCUAUAAUGUGAUGCUGAACAAGUGACACUUAGCCUCAUAGCACUGAAGGCACUCCAGGCUUAAAGAAGGUGAGCAAAGAGGGAGGCAGGAAAGCUGGGGAUUUAUUCUAACACUGCUGUGGAGUUCCAGUUGUCUGGACCAUCAGGUACAUCUAGACACUUACUAGAAGUUCUGCUGCACAGGACCAAUCACCAUCCAAACCUUCUGCAACGGACACUGACCAAUCAACAGCUACCCUUUGAGAUUCAUCAUGCAACAACUUCUGAAUUCAUCUAACUUUAUUAUUACCAAAUGCACAUUUUCCAGCUCUACAAUAUCUACCAUGAUAGCAUGAGAGAUUGUGUCAAUUUUCUCUGAAAUAUUAGAUUAACAUAUGCCUAAUGCAAUUCUUUCCUAUCAAUCUAUUAAAGGAAAUAAAGGCAUUAUGGCAUAACCUGUUCUUGGUGCA
rnacentral:lncRNA from 1 species